GGAAAGGCGCGCGAUACAGGGUGACAGCCCCGUACACAAAAAUGCACAUGCUGUGAGCUCGAUGAGUAGGGCGGGACACGUGGUAUCCUGUCUGAAUAUGGGGGGACCAUCCUCCAAGGCUAAAUACUCCUGACUGACCGAUAGUGAACCAGUACCGUGAGGGAAAGGCGAAAAGAACCCCGGCGAGGGGAGUGAAAAAGAACCUGAAACCGUGUACGUACAAGCAGUGGGAGCACAGAGCAAUCUGUGUGACUGCGUACCUUUUGUAUAAUGGGUCAGCGACUUAUAUUCUGUAGCAAGGUUAACCGAAUAGGGGAGCCGAAGGGAAACCGAGUCUUAACUGGGCGUUAAGUUGCAGGGUAUAGACCCGAAACCCGGUGAUCUAGCCAUGGGCAGGUUGAAGGUUGGGUAACACUAACUGGAGGACCGAACCGACUAAUGUUGAAAAAUUAGCGGAUGACUUGUGGCUGGGGGUGAAAGGCCAAUCAAACCGGGAGAUAGCUGGUUCUCCCCGAAAGCUAUUUAGGUAGCGCCUCGUGAAUUCAUCUCCGGGGGUAGAGCACUGUUUCGGCAAGGGGGUCAUCCCGACUUACCAACCCGAUGCAAACUGCGAAUACCGGAGAAUGUUAUCACGGGAGACACACGGCGGGUGCUAACGUCCGUCGUGAAGAGGGAAACAACCCAGACCGCCAGCUAAGGUCCCAAAGUCAUGGUUAAGUGGGAAACGAUGUGGGAAGGCCCAGACAGCCAGGAUGUUGGCUUAGAAGCAGCCAUCAUUUAAAGAAAGCGUAAUAGCUCACUGGUCGAGUCGGCCUGCGCGGAAGAUGUAACGGGGCUAAACCAUGCACCGAAGCUGCGGCAGCGACGCUUAUGCGUUGUUGGGUAGGGGAGCGUUCUGUAAGCCUGUGAAGGUGUGCUGUGAGGCAUGCUGGAGGUAUCAGAAGUGCGAAUGCUGACAUAAGUAACGAUAAAGCGGGUGAAAAGCCCGCUCGCCGGAAGACCAAGGGUUCCUGUCCAACGUUAAUCGGGGCAGGGUGAGUCGACCCCUAAGGCGAGGCCGAAAGGCGUAGUCGAUGGGAAACAGGUUAAUAUUCCUGUACUUGGUGUUACUGCGAAGGGGGGACGGAGAAGGCUAUGUUGGCCGGGCGACGGUUGUCCCGGUUUAAGCGUGUAGGCUGGUUUUCCAGGCAAAUCCGGAAAAUCAAGGCUGAGGCGUGAUGACGAGGCACUACGGUGCUGAAGCAACAAAUGCCCUGCUUCCAGGAAAAGCCUCUAAGCAUCAGGUAACAUCAAAUCGUACCCCAAACCGACACAGGUGGUCAGGUAGAGAAUACCAAGGCGCUUGAGAGAACUCGGGUGAAGGAACUAGGCAAAAUGGUGCCGUAACUUCGGGAGAAGGCACGCUGAUAUGUAGGUGAAGUCCCUCGCGGAUGGAGCUGAAAUCAGUCGAAGAUACCAGCUGGCUGCAACUGUUUAUUAAAAACACAGCACUGUGCAAACACGAAAGUGGACGUAUACGGUGUGACGCCUGCCCGGUGCCGGAAGGUUAAUUGAUGGGGUCAGCGCAAGCGAAGCUCUUGAUCGAAGCCCCGGUAAACGGCGGCCGUAACUAUAACGGUCCUAAGGUAGCGAAAUUCCUUGUCGGGUAAGUUCCGACCUGCACGAAUGGCGUAAUGAUGGCCAGGCUGUCUCCACCCGAGACUCAGUGAAAUUGAACUCGCUGUGAAGAUGCAGUGUACCCGCGGCAAGACGGAAAGACCCCGUGAACCUUUACUAUAGCUUGACACUGAACAUUGAGCCUUGAUGUGUAGGAUAGGUGGGAGGCUUGGAAGUGUGGACGCCAGUCUGCAUGGAGCCGACCUUGAAAUACCACCCUUUAAUGUUUGAUGUUCUAACGUUGACCCGUAAUCCGGGUUGCGGACAGUGUCUGGUGGGUAGUUUGACUGGGGCGGUCUCCUCCUAAAGAGUAACGGAGGAGCACGAAGGUUGGCUAAUCCUGGUCGGACAUCAGGAGGUUAGUGCAAUGGCAUAAGCCAGCUUGACUGCGAGCGUGACGGCGCGAGCAGGUGCGAAAGCAGGUCAUAGUGAUCCGGUGGUUCUGAAUGGAAGGGCCAUCGCUCAACGGAUAAAAGGUACUCCGGGGAUAACAGGCUGAUACCGCCCAAGAGUUCAUAUCGACGGCGGUGUUUGGCACCUCGAUGUCGGCUCAUCACAUCCUGGGGCUGAAGUAGGUCCCAAGGGUAUGGCUGUUCGCCAUUUAAAGUGGUACGCGAGCUGGGUUUAGAACGUCGUGAGACAGUUCGGUCCCUAUCUGCCGUGGGCGCUGGAGAACUGAGGGGGGCUGCUCCUAGUACGAGAGGACCGGAGUGGACGCAUCACUGGUGUUCGGGUUGUCAUGCCAAUGGCACUGCCCGGUAGCUAAAUGCGGAAGA
rnacentral:rRNA from 1 species